GUCUAAAGUAACAGGGUUACUCUCCACCAACAUUUCUCUUCAAGAGAAGCUGCACAAGCAGCAGGCCAACAACCAACAGUUGGAAGCAGAACACAAACUGCUGAAGAUCAAGACAGAGGCUCUGGAUGAGACUAUCAGAGAGAACGAGGGUUUAUCUCUGAAGCUCACAGAGACCACAAAAGAACUUUCUGUCAAAAGUGCUGAACUCACGGUCAACAACCAGACCUGGCAGCAGAAAUAUGAAGAUCUGGAGAAAAAGACAACCAAGAAACUGGAUGACCAACAACAGUCAUUGAGUCUAAAGUAACAGGGUUACUCUCCACCAACAUUUCUCUUCAGAGAAGCUGCACAAGCAGCAGGCCAACAACCAACAGUUGGAAGCAGAACACAAACUGCUGAAGAUCAAGACAGAGGCUCUGGAUGAGACUAUCAGGGAGAACGAGGGUUUAUCUCUGAAGCUCACAGAGACCACAAAACAACUUUCUGUCAAAAGUGCUGAACUCACGGUCAACAACCAGACCUGGCAGCAGAAAUAUGAAGAUCUGGAGAAAAAGACAACCAAGAAACUGGAUGACCAACAACAGUCAUUGGAGUCUAAAGUAACAGGGUUACUCUCCACCAACAUUUCUCUUCAAGAGAAGCUGCACAAGCAGCAGGCCAACAACCAACAGUUGGAAGCAGAACACAAACUGCUGAAGAUCAAGACAGAGGCUCUGGAUGAGACUAUCAGGGAGAACGAGGGUUUAUCUCUGAAGCUCACAGAGACCACAAAACAACUUUCUGUCAAAAGUGCUGAACUCACGGUCAACAACCAGACCUGGCAGCAGAAAUAUGAAGAUCUGGAGAAAAAGACAACCAAGAAACUGGAUGACCAACAACAGUCAUUGGAGUCUAAAGUAACAGGGUUACUCUCCACCAACAUUUCUCUUCAAGAGAAGCUGCACAAGCAGCAGGCCAACAACCAACAGUUGGAAGCAGAACACAAACUGCUGAAGAUCAAGACAGAGGCUCUGGAUGAGACUAUCAGGGAGAACGAGGGUUUAUCUCUGAAGCUCACCGAGACCACAAAAGAACUUUCUGUCAAAAGUGCUGAACUCACGGUCAAC
ensembl:lncRNA